rnacentral:rRNA from 1 species
UACGGGGGGAGCAAGCGUUGUUCGGAUUUACUGGGCGUAAAGGGCGCGUAGGCGGCCACCGCAAGUCACUUGUGAAAUCUCCGGGCUUAACUCGGAAAGGUCAACUGAUACUGUGCGACUAGAGUGCAGAAGGGGCAACUGGAAUUCUCGGUGUAGCGGUGAAAUGCGUAGAUAUCGAGAGGAAUACCUGCGGCGAAGGCGGGUUGCUGGGCUGACACUGACGCUGAGGCGCGAAAGCCAGGGGAGCGAACGGG